GCUGGUGUGGCGCAGGGGUAGCGCAACUGAUUCGUAAUCAGUAGGCCGAGAGUUCAAAUCUCUCCACCAGCUCCA
rnacentral:tRNA from 1 species